rnacentral:rRNA from 1 species
UUAAUAUUAGUUAUGAAAUAUAUUUCAAGAAAUUUUAUAUCUAGUUUUUUAAGAGUUUAAGUUUAAUGAAUAAUUUUUAUAAAAAUUAAUAUGGUUUAGCUUAUUAAUUUUAUAUAUUGUAAUAAUUUUAUAACUUUAGUAAAUUUGAUAGUGUUUAUUUUAUAAAUUUAUAAUGGAGGGUAAUAUGAAUAUAAAUUUUUAUUUAUUAUUGAUUUAUUAAAAAAUUUAUUAAAAUUUUAAAGUUUUAUUUAUAAUGAAAAAAUUAGUAAAAAUUUAUUUAUAUUUUAAAAUAUUUAAUAAUAUAUAUAAUGUUAUAAUUAUUAUAAAAAAUGAAUUCGGCAAAAAUUAUUAUUUGACUGUUUAGCAAAAACAUUGUUUCAUGAAAAAAAAUAUGAAAUAAUGUCUGUCCACUGAUAUAUUUGAAGGACUGCAGUAUAUUGACUGUAUAAAAGUAGCAUAAUCAUUAGCUUUUUAAUUUGGGGUUGGUAUGAAGGCGAAACGGAUAAGUUCUUUAUUUUUUAUAAAUAUUUAAAUUUUAUUUUUAAGUGAAAAAUCUUAAUUAUUUGAGAGGGACAAGAAGACCCUAAUAAGUUUUAUUUUUCUUUUAUUUAUGUUAUAGGAAAUAAAAAUUAGAUAAUAUUAAAUUAGAAAUUUGAUUGGGGCGAUUAGUUAUAAAACAUAAUUAAAUUUUAAUUUUU